GUUGAGGAAUUGUUUCACAAUAGUGUACAGCAUCGAGACUUGUAGAAAUUUCACUCGAAUAAAGAUUUAUCAAAGAAUUCAUCGUGCACGUGUCUACGAUCUUGAUAUUUGUAUGAACAUGAACAUGAAUAUGAACAUUCAUUUACUAUGGAAAAACUUACCUACCUACGUAUUUUCUCAAUCGUAUGUUUUCAGCACGCGUUUAAUGCAUAUAAUUACUUCUUUCUUCUCGUAUGAGGUUGCGGCUCGAGGUGUAGAAAGUUUAACCGAAAAUGAAUGAAGUUGAGAAGAAGGAAAUGCGUAUGAUUGUGUAAAAGGUGAUAACAAAAACGAAUUUUAUAGAAUCACCUUGUAUAUUGUUUACAAUUUUUGUCUCGCUAUCGGGUCGACGACUGAGAAUUGAUUUAUACUGCGACAAAACAAAUAUCAAGCAGUCCGGUCGGACUGCCCCGCCAAGCAAGAAAAAAAACGAACACAAAAAAAAACAACAACAACAACGAUAAUACAAACGUGAUCACAGUCCGACCACUUACUGCUUAAUUCUCUGAACAACUAAGCGUAUUUUCGAUGUUCAAUUUCUCGCGAAUAAAAAAACGUACGAUUCUGAUUUUUUGAUAUGUUGUUGGCAUCAACGAGAACUUUAAUUUGGUAUGCUAACAAACUUUGUACGGUAAAAAAUGAUGUAGAUUGGAGUACCCAAAGUUAGCAUUUUGGGGUAAUUUUUGAAAUCUCAAAUCUUCGUGUCAACAAAAAACUACUGAACCAAUUCAAGUCAAAUUUCGCACACUGGUGUAAAUUAACGAGUUAUUUCUAAAUACAACGUCAGUUUUUAAAAAAAAUUAUUUUUGACCCACUUUUUCUCAAUUUGAAAAUUUCUCUCCCCCCAAAAACACCCCCAAAAUGAAAAUUUUUCGUAGUACCGUAGAAAAGGGUCAUCUACAUCAUAUUCACUAUCAAUGUGCAAAAUUUCAAGUAAAUCGGUUCAUUAGGAGAGGCUGUAGCCUUGUCAACGGAAAUUAUCUUUAUGAUUUUUCAGUGACAGAAAUGAGAUAGUAGUGGAGAAGAAAAAACAAAAUGAAAAUUUUUAGUUGAAAUGUAAAAAAGGGUCAUCUACAUGACUUAAACUACCACUAUACAAAAUUUCAAUUAAAUCCGUUCAUUUGAAGAGGCUGUAGCCUUGUCAACGGAAAGUUCCGGUGGUGUAUUUUACUGAUUCCGGCGGCACUGGUGGAGCUGAACAGAAAAGAAGGAGAAAGCGGUUUGGGCGAAGCCCAAGGGGGGGUGUGGGGGGGACGAAGUCCCCCCCCCCCAACGAACAGAAACAGUAAACACUACUGAUAAUUAGUGAUAAGAAGUAUUUCUUCGUGAAUUGUGAUUUUUAGUUGGUCACCGGUCACUGCUGUCACCGAGGAUAUCAAAUUGAUCAAGAAAACGCAGCUGUUUUCAUUUUCAUGGUUCUGAACUUCCGAAGCUUUGAUUGCUGCCCUGAAUCAAGUAAGUGAUGAACAUUUUUGAACCUGAAAACAAAUUUCUAAUCAUGUGAUGAUUUUCAGGUGAAAUUCAAUGAACAAUUGAUGCCGAUGAAAUCAUGAAUACUUGAAGAAAGUGACAAUGACGAAGAAAUUCAUCAGUCAAGAUAACUAUUUGUAUAUGUGGUGGACAGAAUAUUAAUUCUGCAGGUUGUAUUUGUACGAAGUACUUGAAACAGCAACCAAGUUGCAUUUGGUAAUGGAUACAUGUCCGGUGGUGGUCCUCAUUCAAGGCUACUGUCAGAAGGAAAAAUGAAAGAAAGCAAUGCAGCAAUCAUAUUUGUGCAAGUAUUAUCGGCUAUGAUGCAUUUAGUAAGCAUCGCGUAACAUACACUUAUAAAUAUACAAAGUAUUUUUAUAGUUCUCCAUGUGAGAAUAAAACUUCCUACGUCACUGAAUCUGUAGAUAAUAAUUAAUUAUAUGCCUAAUGUAAUCGAAAGCAUGUGAUAUCUGGCACACAAACAUAGUUAUCUAUACCCAAUUAAUUAAUUAUUCUCCCAGCAUUGAUUACAGAAUCUACGAAGUACAUGUACCUAAGCUAUUUAUUUUUACACCAUCUUUUGUUUAGCACAAUAGAAACAUUAUUCAUUGAGAUAUCAAAGUGGAUACUUAUGUUUUUUGUACGCAGAGAAAAACCACGUCAAAUUAGGAGAUUUUGGAUUUAGUAUGGUUUCAGUAAAAGGAAGUAACGAAGAGCUCUUCACGUUUUUCUGCCAUUUCAGUGGCACGUUAGAAACGCAGUAUUUUAUUAGCGAGUAAUUCCUACGCCGCAGCCAGCUCAUUCGUCGCAGUAUUGUAUUACUUUAAUACGCGAGUUCAUAAUACUAUAAGAAAUUAUAUGUACAUUACAUACUAUGAACAUUUCUAAACUAAGUAUUAGGUAUAUUUCAGGAGGAAUACUAUGCAUAAUAGGUAAGUACCAACAUUAGAUGGAGACGAAAAAUUAUCUGAAAUCGAAAUUAAAGCCAAGAAGCAGCUGUUAGCUUACAGUAUCGAUGAUAAAAUAUUAGAAGAGCAGACAAUAGAAUGUAUUAAAAGCGAUGUGAUGUAAUCGCGACGUAUCAAAUAAUUAUUCAUAAAUUAUCAACUUCGAAUCAUAAUGUACCCCUGCAGUUACAAGAAUUACUGCUAAAAAAAACUCAAAUCACGCUUGUUCACACCUUCUUGUUAUUACAAAAAGAGUACUUAAGUAAUAAGAUGCGUGGACGUGAAAAAAACCUAAUAAAUUUUUUGUAUAAUUUUACAGAAUGUUGCAUUUAUUAUUACGGUACUGCUCGUACUAAUCGUUCUUCUAGGUACUGAUAGAAAUAUUGAAUCAAUAUGUUAGUGAAAUAAAAAUACUUAUUUACAAAUUUUCUACUUUUCAUGAAGGAAUGUGUUUAUUUGCAUGAGAAUGAACAAUAUAACUUAUGUAAAUUUUCUAGCCGUGAAAUCAUUGUACCAUUUUGAUGCGUUAUCUAGCAUUUAAUUGAUCACACAACCCUUGACUAAUACGCAAAUAAUUGCAAUCGUAUAACGCAACGAA